rnacentral:ncRNA from 1 species
CGGUUCCCUGCAUGCUCGUGCAGGGAUCAAAAGGGAACCCGGUGCAGAUCCGGGACAGCCGCCACUACUGUGAGAGGGCACGUUCCAAGCGCAAUCCCAUUGGGCCUCGGCCUGAGAAGGGGCUUGGAGAGGACGGAUGCGUUCAACCCUCAAGCCAGGAGACCUGCCCCUCG